rnacentral:sRNA from 3 species
AUGUGCAGCCUUAGCACUCCGGAUCCUAUGCGCCGUCCGAGCUCGCCUGCCAAUUGCUUGCUACGUUUUGUCAGCC